GACAGAGGGGGCAAGCGUUGCUCGGAAUUACUGGGCGUAAAGCGUGCGCAGGCGGUUAUGUAAGACAGGAGUGAAAUCCCCGGGCUUAACCUGGGAACUGCAUUUGUGACUGCAUAGCUAGAGUACGGUAGAGGGGGAUGGAAUUCCGCGUGUAGCAGUGAAAUGCGUAGAUAUGCGGAGGAACACCGAUGGCGAAGGCAAUCCCCUGGACCUGUACUGACGCUCAUGCACGAAAGCGUGGGGAGCAAACAGG
rnacentral:rRNA from 1 species